GUGGAACUCAAUAGAUUUCUGUUUGCUGCAUGUGCUGCGGGUGCACACACACACAUGCACAAAUGACCACUUUAUGAAAGCAUUUGCGUGCAAUAAAAAGUUAAUUUUUUUCACACUUAAAAUCAGCUUCGCCACCUGCAGUGAUUAUCAAGCAAGCUUCAUUUGGAGACAGAUUUGGAGGCUGGCGGCUCUUUGGCUCUGAGAAAAUCCCUGAAGAAAACAUCUUGGACACCCCGAGGCAUCACCUCACAAGUUGGACACCUGAA
rnacentral:lncRNA from 1 species